rnacentral:rRNA from 1 species
UGCAGUCGAGCGGACUUGAGAGAAGCUUGCUUCUCUGAUGGUUAGCGGCGGACGGGUGAGUAACACGAGCGACCUGCCCUCAAGUUUGGGACAACUCCGGAAACGGUAGCUAAUACCGAAUAAUUGUUUUCUUCGCCUGAAGAGAACUGGAAAGACGGACAAUCUGUCACUUGGGGAUGGGCCUGCGGCGCAUUAGCUAGUUGGGAGGUACGGCUCACCAAGGCGACGAUGCGUAGCCGACCUGAAGGGUGAUCGGCCACACUGGGACUGAACACGGCCCAACUCCUACGGGAGGCAGCAUAGGGAAUCUUCCGCAAUGGGCGAAAGCCUGACGGAGCAAUGCCGCGUGAGUGAUGAAGGUUUUCGGAUCGUAAAGCUCUGUUGCCAGGGAAGAACGCUUGGAGAGUAACUGCUCUCAAGGUGACGGUACCUGAGAAGAAAGCCCC